UUUUUCUAAGAGUUCAUGGCAUGGUUUAAAGUUUAGUGUUUAGAAUUUAUGGUUUAGGGUUUAGUAUUAGAGUUUAGGAUUAAGAGUUUAGGGUUUGGUUUAGAGUUUUGGAUUAGGGAUCUAGGAUUUUCCCAAAGAUUCAGGGUUUAUCCAAUGAUUUAGGGUUUAGUGUUUAGGAUUUAAAGUUUAGGGUUUAAUAUUUUACUAACAGGUUUAACAAUAUUAAAAAAUCUUUUUAUGAUAAUUACUAUAAAUUUUUUUUUAAACAAUAUAAUUUCACAAAUUUUUAUUAUUUGGUUUCUUUUUUUAAAAGAUAUUGAAUCUAAAAUAACUAAAUCGUAUUGGUUGGGUGAACCCAAGACCGGGUCUAUGGGUCCAGAGAAAUUUUUAGUGCUAUUUUAUUAAUUUUAAGGAUCCAUUUCAAAUUGCUAAAUGAUUAAAUAUUUAAUAAAAUUAUAAUAAAGAGU
rnacentral:lncRNA from 1 species